rnacentral:rRNA from 1 species
AUUCCUCGAGUAACGGCGAGUGAAAGGGGAGAAGCUCAGCGUGUAGCCUCGGGGAUGCCCUCCAUGUGAGUGUGUUAAUCCUACGAUGGGAUGCCACGUAAGGGAGAAUACUUGAAGAGUCUGCGGCCCGGCAAUCCGAACUGUUUGAUGAAACAUUGCCCAGAGAGGGUGUUAGGCCCGUAGGACCGUUGUUGUCGCGACUCUUCGCGGUAUUCUCUCGAGAGUCGGGUUGUUUGAGAAUACAGCCUUAAGAGGUGGGAAACUCCAUCUAAAGCUAAAUAUUACUGCGAGACCGAUAGCGAACAAGUACCGUGAGGGAAAGUUGAAAAGGACUCUGAAGAGAGGGUUCAAGAGAGCGUGAAACUGCUACGGGGAUAAAGCGGAUACAUUUGCGUAGUCGAAAAGGGAGAUACAGCUGGUUCCUGGUAACCUCCCGAUUAGUGUACGUAAGAAAUUCAACCCUUCAUUCUCGAGCUUCGGCUCGGGGUGUCGGAAAUUGGUCUCUUUCUGUAUGUUUUUUGGGUGAGAGUACAACCUUGAUCCGGUCUAUUUCACACCUUAGUAGGCCGCCGCGACGGUUGGAGAGUUGUCUAAGGCUCUUUGUAGUUGGGAACCUUUGGUCUUCCACUUGUGGUUGGCCAGAGGGGACGCUUCAUUGAAUUUACUGGCGGAUUCUCCGACCGGAGAAAUAAACGUCCCCCCGGGGACGUAAGUGCGACGCUAAUAGCGACUAAUUUAUCCGUCCCGUCUUGAAACACGGACCAAGGAGUCUAACAUGUACGCGAGUCAAAGGGCCUACUAAACCCCUAGGCGUAAUGAAAGUAAAGAAUUAAUGGAUUGAUCCGUGCUUCGUCCUUUUUAACAAAAUUUGUCGAGAAGUCGAACCGGCGCAAAUCCGGGACCCGUCUACUGCUUCUUUCGAUUUAUCGUUGGUUGUUCAUGUGGCGGGUACCUUGAGCGUACACGUUGGUACCCGAAAGAUGGUGAUCUAUGCUUGACCUGGGUGAAGCCAGAGG